CAGAAGGUUCAUUUGAUGGGUUGCCCUUCUUCUAUUCUCUUCCCUUCUCCACGUAUUUGGAAAGGGUAAUUUGAACUUGGGCAUGCUAUUCAUUUUCCCACUCCUUAUUGAGGCGGUGGCAGCCGACAACUUGGUGUUCCAUGUAGAUAUGACAUCUAGGUAUCUAGAAGUAACUGUUCCGGUUCACAUAUUUUAAGCUAUUAAAAAAACUCCCAAGAGUUGUUGCUUCAUGAUAUUCAGUUUUUGGCACUUUUAGGAAUAGUGCUUCAGAAUGACAACUGCUGCUCAUAAGAUAUAGCUUUUGCCUUUUCCCAAUUCCGUGGAGCACCAUUUAUUUUUGCAAAUUAGAUUUUUUACAGUCUGUUUUAUCUAUAUCGCUUAUUAGUAGUGCCUAACUUUUAUUUACAUCGCCUAUUUUUAUUGUUGAGUUCUAGAAGAGGGUGCUGCCAAAGGGAAGUCUUGGCAGGUCGACUGAUUGGCAUGUGUUUGUGUUGCAACUUUGUAUAUUGUUGAGUUUCAGAAGAGGGGGCUGCCACUGGGAGGGCUUGGCAGGGAUCUUACAUGCUGCUCUGGUUGGGUCAUGGUGGAAGUCGACUCGGACAGGCAGUUUUUAAACAUAAGGCACAACUACCCAGCUUUAAAUUAAUAAAGCCCCUAACGGCCAAGUUUGUUACUCAAUAAUUGCAGUAUUUCAUCUGAGUUGCCAAAUGUAGUUGCUGAUCCCUUGACCUGUUCUUUGGUUCGUGAAUUCAUGGUUGAUUGUCUGAGCCAAGAUGCAAUGCUUGAUUUGUAAAAUUGAAUCUUAUAGUAAUUUUGUGUAAAAGAAAUUCCAAAGACUAACAACCGUACAUAAAAGAUUAUCAUUGAUAUU